AGAUGAGUGAGAUGGGCCCGCUGGCCUUAAUCCGCUUCUGUGACUUCAUAGUAGGCCACCCGUGGGAGUCCCACCUGCAGAGGUGGCAGCAGCUUGCCUUUGAGGAAGCCACAUCACAGCAGGCAUGUUUACCCCCAGGGCCAAGGUGGAAGACUGCCCUUAAACAGAGGUGAGCCUUGCCCUGACACCUUUGGGCUCCCUUCAUGCAUCUCCUCAGGUUUCUUUCUAGUUUGGGGGACUCAGCUGCUCCAGGCCAGGAAGCAAUUUGGCAAGCCGGUGUGCAAUGGAUUGUAAUCUCUUCUACUCUCCUUGGUUGGGUGGCCUUGCACACAACAGUAUGCUGCCGCCUUUGUGUUUAAACAGCUAUGAACCUGCUAUUGUACAAGUGAGCCGUUUGAAGGACCUGAGACAGUUGGUGCUUGUAACUUGAUGGGAACAGGUGCCUUAUACCUGUUCCGUGAAAGAAUGGAGGAAAUUCUCUUCAAAAAAAUUCUAAGGGUCUUAAAGACAAAAGAAUUGGGCACUGAGUGUGUGCUUUUCAACCAUAAGUUCUGCUCUCUCCCAGUGAGCUCCAUCCUCAAGAAAGUUGUGCUAUUAAGUGGGGAGCAUGUCUCAAACACAUGUAAAUGGUUUCCCUUCUAACCUAGCCACCAAAGGGUGACCUGACAGACAGGAGAAACACACAGGCCACCCUUCUUGCAGGGACCUCACGACCAGUAAAUACACCUACUUGCACACCACAAUGUACCUCUGUCUUGAGUGCCCACACUGUAUCCUCUCUGAGUAUGUGCUUUUUUUUUUCAUUUUAUAAAAUAUCAUUUUAAUUCUUGUCCUUAAAACUAUAAAGAUUAUACAUGAUUUGAAAAUGAGACUGUACCAAACAGUGGAAAAAGAAUCAUCCGUUCAUUCCUUUCCUUUUGUCUGGUCACUCAAAAAGACAACGUUAUCAGCUAUGAUUGUUGUUGCUUGUCGCCUCACGUUAUUCUUAUCCAUGUAUUCACCAUAGUCUAUUUUCCCUUCCAUGAAAACUCGACACCCUUUUUCACAUAUUGAUAGGCUACAUCUCUAAAGCCUGGCCGAAACACUGAUAUUUGGUGCCAUGGUGUCUUUUGACUGACAUCACCUAUUUGGUAUGCUUCACUGUCCCCUGAUCACCACAUCUCAUUUGUUGCUAGAGAAAAUAUGGUGAUUGGAUUUUUUCCUUCCACCUGUCUUAUGACAGGGUCCUGACCCACUCACCCAAGUAACUGUACCCGAUUUAGUCAUCUUUCAAGAACAAAACUGCUGGCUACUUCAGACUCAUGUCUUACAAACUGACGAAUCACCUGUAAUAAAGGUCUUCGAAAAAGCAGGGCUCCUGUCUUUUUUUUUUACAAUCUAAUCUUUUGGGUUCUUCCUGACGCACUAGCCAGCACUACCUCCACCAUGGAGAUCGCUUCCGGAGCACAGAAAAAGCCAGGCUCGAGAAAGGAAAGAGAAAACUGUCCGUAGUGUGUGUUGUAGAAAUGUUACCGGCUCUGAGUAUGUGCUUUUAACAUUCUGCCUUGAAAGUUCUUAUUGUGUGAUGGAAGUCAGCAAACUAACAACU
rnacentral:lncRNA from 1 species